rnacentral:rRNA from 1 species
AACGAACGCUGGCGGCAUGCCUAACACAUGCAAGUCGAACGAGACCUCCGGGCCUAGUGGCGGUCCUCGGCGUACCACCUGGGGACUUGCCCUUGGGUUAGGUAUACCUCCCUUAAAGGGGUCCUAAUACCGGUUAAUGUCUUCGGGCCAAGGAGGUACCGCGUCUGGGUGGGCGCGCGUUAGUUUGGCGAGUUGGUAGGGUACAAGCCUACCAGGGCGAGGUUGCUUAGCUGGUAUGGGAGAAAGGUAAGCCACACUUGCACUGAGGCACGGCCCAGACUGGUAGGGGAGGCAGGAGUAGAGAAUAUUGGACAAGGGGCGAGAGCCUGAUCCAGCAGUGCCGCGUGAGUGAUGCAGGCGGUAGGGUUGUAAAGCUCUUUUACCCGGGAUGAUAAUGACGGUACCGGGAGAAGAAGCUCCGGCUAACUCCGUG